rnacentral:rRNA from 1 species
AACUGAGGAUAAUACUGGAUAGGCAAUUAUUCCUGGAAUGGAUUUUUGUUUAAAUGUUUUUUCGCCUAAGGAUGGGUCUGCGGCCGAUUAGGUAGUUGGUUAGGUAACGGCUUACCAAGCCAUUGAUCGGUACGGGUUGUGAGAGCAAGAGCCCGGAGAUGGAACCUGAGACAAGGUUCCAGGCCCUACGGGGUGCAGCAGGCGCGAAACCUCCGCAAUGUGAGAAAUCGCGACGGGGGGAUCCCAAGUGCCAUUCUUAACGGGAUGGCUUUUCAUUAGUGUAAAGAGCUUUUGGAAUAAGGGCUGGGCAAGACCGGUGCCAGCCGCCGCGGUAACACCGGCAGCUCUAGUGGUAGCAGUUUUUAUUGGGCCUAAAGCGUCCGUAGCCGGUUUAAUAAGUCUCUGGUGAGAUCCUGUAGCUUAACUGUGGGAAUUGCUGGAGAUACUAUUANACUUGAGACCGGGAGA